rnacentral:misc_RNA from 1 species
GUUGUCUGGACUUUUUAACUGUCUGUAUGUGUCUGGAAAGUCUUCCAUUAAUAUGCGAUUUCAUUUUAACUAAUAUAUUGCAGCUUCUGUUGGCAAAUAGAUGUGUCAAGAGUAGAUUUUAUGAAUUGUUAACUUCUAACUGCAGAAGUAGGUUGCAGAAUUUCAGAAACUAAUGCUCGGUCCUUUGCUGCUGGGAUAUUUUGGUGCUAAGCAUAUGGCCUGACUGGCAGCAUACUUGUACUGCUUGCAUGUCCUUAUAGAUAGGAACAACUGCAAUUACAGCGUUUGGUGCAUCUAUUUUUACUGCAUUAAUUUGUUAUAUGAUAACUGAAAUAUGGAUUUUCAACUUUUAUUUUUAUGAAAUGGUUUUAUAUGGUAGCAUUUGGUUGCCUUCUCUAUUUUGGACCAGAUAAUUAGCAGAGAUUAUUUAAACUGCACUAUGCUUACAACGAUGCAGCAGUGCAAUGUUAAGUGAGAUCCCAUAGCACUUGAAUAUAUUAUCUUUUGCACUAUUUAAAUCUGUAGACCUAUCUUGUUUACUUAAGUCUUUCUUGUAUAUCUCCUCUAGAAAAUGGAAUAUUGUUGUUCUUUUUCAGG